rnacentral:lncRNA from 1 species
GGCGGGGGCGGGGCCGGGCGCCAGGGGCCGCGGGUCUGCGGCGCUUACAGGGACCACCCUGGGCGGAAACGCCUGGUGAGCCCUCCCGCUUGCAGCCUCGCACCGCCGGGCAAGCUAGGCUCCUCCUGCACGCACGAAGGAGGAUUCCACAGGAACGAACCACGACCCCCAAGGUUUCGCAGUUGUAAGACCGCAGCGCAGGAUCGAAACCCCGACCCGGCUGCAGAGUCCCCCUGCGGUUUGGCCGGGCCUCAAAGGCCUGAAACUCCUGACCCAUCGCCCAGCCAGAACGAGGGGACGUUUCAUGCCAGCCCUGUCACAGCCCCCAACGACGAUCCCGAAGCUUCGGUGAUUUGACCGGUCAGAGAGAAUGCCUUUGUUUUCCUGACUGACGUGCAAUCCUGGGGAAGGCACUCUGGCCUCAUUUUGUUCGCGAGACUCAACCCGGCGGCGCGCCUGUCUCGUGUCCUUUCUACUGUAACAAUAUGUUCGUUUCAACCCCCGACUGGGCUUCGACCUCCUUCUGUUAUUGAAGGCAUGGGAUGAAAUCAUUCUUCUUUUUUUUUUUUUUUUUGAGGGAGUCUCACUCUAUUGCCCAGGCAGUGGUGUAAUCUCGGCUAAAUGCAACCUCCGCCUCCCGGAUUCAAGAGAUUCUCCUGCCUCAGCCUCCUGAGUAGCUGGGACUACAGGCGCCCGCUGCCACGCCCGGCUGAUUUUUUUUUUUUUUUUUUUUUUUUUGAGACGGAGUCACCCAGGCUGGACUGCAGUGGCGCGAUCUCGGCUCACUGCAAGCUCCGACUUCCCGUUUCCCGCCAUUCUCCUGCCUCAGCCUCUCUGAGUAGCUGGGACUACAGGUGCCCGCCACCACGCCGGGCUAAUUUUUUGUAUUUUUAGUAGAGACAGGGUUUCACCGUGGUCUCGAUCUCCUGACCUCAUGAUCUGCCCGCCUCGGCCUCCCAAAGUGCUGGGAUUACAAGCGUGAGCCACUGUGCCCGGCCAAAUUUUUGUAUUUUUAGUAGAGACGGGGUUUCACCAUAUUGGCCAAGCUUGUCUCGAACUCCUGACCUCGCGAUCCACUCGUCUUGGCUUCCCAAAGUACUGGGAUUACAGGCGUGAGCCACCGCACCCGGCCGAGAUCAUUCAUUUUCAAAGGGAGAGGCAGCUCUGAAUCUCUAGGGCUAAGAGAGGGAUGUGUUUGGUUUGAAAAAGCAUGUUUAAUUUAAUGAUUUUGUGUUUUUUCCAAACACAGUACCCAGAGAGAACGGCCAGCAGGCCCGCGGCUGAUGGUUGCUUCUGUGUUUCCUGCGUGGUAGGAGGGAAGCAGUGGAAGUUCCAUCUUUGUCAAAGAGGAACCUGUCUGUGACAUCUGAAACACUGCACUAAAGGCUGCCAGUGUGCCCUUCGGGCUCUGAAACCCGGCCCAGUGCAAGCAAGACUGUGGCCUGGACCAGGGCUGAGAGCUGUUUGUCAGGAGAGAUUCGGGCCAUUCCCUGGGGUUUGGGUUGGAAGGGUGAUGUUACCAAGAUUGGAAGGAAGGUCACAGUUUCCCUGAGGUGUCCCUGGCCCAACUGCAGGAGGGCUGACUGACAUCUGCCAGUAUGCACAGCCAGUCCCUGGAUGCCCAGCAUGGCCCAGGUCUGUGUGACCCUGUCUGGAGUCCCCAGACUUGCUAUGUCCCUACCCAGGCCCUGGUGGGCUCAUGACCUCCCCAGUCCAGUUCUGAUGCUGCCUGUCCCUGUGAAGCCCACUCCAGUGUUCAUAUCACCAGGGCUGGGCUCAGGCCUGUGUCCUUGCCCCUCUCUCCAGGGCAUCUUGGGUCUCCCUUGGUGACAGUACCUGCACCCUGCGGGCAGCCUGCGCUGGCUGUGAACCACACUGCCGCCUACUUCCUCUUCUAUGUUCCCGCUCUGUCCACAGUCCCCUCUGAACACUCCCGUGAAGCAGGUUCUAGGAUCAUCUCCAUUUUAUAGAAGGGGAGAUUGAGGAUCAGAGACAUGCAGUCAUUUGCCCAAGGACACACGCAGGAAGUUCAAUGGCUUCCAAUCCCAUGCUCUUUCCUCUACACCGUGCUGACUCACUUGAGGUUUUAACAGGGGGCGGCAAACACAGCUCCUCUCCCCUUGACCCUCUCACUCCCAAAGCCCAUAGGACCCUGCCGCAGGGUGGCACAUACUUAACCUCCUUGGGGGGGCCUCCAGCUCCCCUCUCUGUGUAGAGCCUACGUUCCCUGCUGUGCUGAGUCCUUGGCUCUGCUCAGCUCAGCCUGACCGGGCUGCGGUCAUUUGAAUCCCCAGUGCUGCCGCCCACCGGUCACCCUGUCCUGUCACCAGGUGGUGACUGGCCCAGUGACCCCCAAGACAACCCGCCAGAAAAGAAUCAUGCCAGGUGCUCACCUGCUCACUGCAGAGGGCUCUAAAUCUGCAACUCAGGUAACAGGGAAACAACUGAUUGGAGUUACCACCCUCAGGUUGCUAAGGCCAAGUGCCUGCCAAAUCCAGCGGCUCGGCUGGGGUGGACUCUGCCCACCAUCAGCAAAACGACAUUCACCAGGAGGCUUAGAGGUAAUUGCUCUGGUUAACUGGAUUUGCUGGGCAUCUGAAGGCUAACUUGCAGAGUCUUUCUAUCAUGCCAGACUUUAAUAGCAAAAAGUUAGAAAGACCUAAACAUUCAGCAGUAGGGGACUUGUAUAAUAAACCAUGGGUUAUUCAUAUAAU